ACCACAGUCGCUGAAUGUUAUGGUGGUGUCUGUGCACGCAGUAAACAACUAGGGAAGGAUAUCCAGCCAAAUUAUAAUUAAAGAUGGCCGACGUACUUACGACAUUAUUCGUGGCCAUGGCGAUUAUUUUGCAACAUCAAGUGACAGAUGCCAAAAACCGGUA